AGCAGCCGCCGCGGUAAUACGAGGGGGGCAAGCGUUGUUCGGAAUUAUUGGGCGUAAAGGGUGCGUAGGCGGUUUGAUAAGUCUUGUGUGAAAUCUCUGGGCUCAACCCAGAGUCUGCACAGGAAACUGUCGGGCUUGAGAGUGGGAGAGGUGAGUGGAAUUUCCGGUGUAGCGGUGAAAUGCGUAGAUAUCGGAAGGAACACCUGUGGCGAAAGCGGCUCACUGGACCAUUUCUGACGCUGAUGCACGAAAGCUAGGGGAGCAAACAGGAUUAGAUACCCCUGUAGUCCCUGUCUCUUAUAC
rnacentral:rRNA from 1 species